rnacentral:rRNA from 1 species
CCUACGGUGGGCUGCAGUGAGGAAUAUUGGUCAAUGGGUGGGAGCCUGAACCAGCCAAGUCGCGUGAGGGACGACGGUCCUAUGGAUUGUAAACCUCUUUUGUCGGGGAACAAAGGCGCCCACGGGUGGGCGGAUGAGUGUACCCGAAGAAAAAGCAUCGGCUAACUCCGUGCCAGCAGCCGCGGUAAUACGGAGGAUGCGAGCGUUAUCCGGAUUUAUUGGGCGUAAAGAGUUCGUAGGCGGUAUGUUAAGUCUGGUGUUAAAUGCAGAAGCUCAACUUCUGUUCGGCACUGGAUACUGGCAAACUAGAAUGCGGUAGAGGUAAAGGGAAUUCCUGGUGUAGCGGUGAAAUGCUUAGAUAUCAGGAGGAACAUCGGUGGCGUAAGCGCUUUACUGGGCCGUAAUUGACGCUGAGGAACGAAAGCCAGGGUAGCAAAUGGGAUUAGAUACCCGAGUAGUC